UACGCAGGGGGCGAGCGUUGUUCGGAAUUACUGGGCGUAAAGGGCGCGUAGGCGGCCGAUCAAGUCAGAUGUGAAAGUCCUGGGCUUAACCUGGGGACUGCAUUUGAUACUGAUUGGCUUGAAUGCAGGAGAGGAUAGCGGAAUUCCCAGUGUAGAGGUGAAAUUCGUAGAGAUAUGGAGGAACACCAGUGGCGAAGGCGGCUUCCUGGUCUGUAACUGACACUGAGGCGCGAAAGCGUGGGGAGCAAACAGG
rnacentral:rRNA from 1 species